GACAAACGCUGGCGGCGUGCCUAAAACAUGCAAGUCGAACGGCCCUUUCGGGGGCAGUGGCGGACGGCUGAGUAACGCGUGGGUAACCUACCCAUGAGUGGGGAAUAACCCUCCGAAAGGGGGGCGUAAUACCGCAUACGACCGUUGAUCUGCGGAGGAGACGGGGAAAGGUACGCAAGACGCUCGUGGAGGGGCCCGCGUCCGAUUAGCUAGUUGGUGGGGUAACGGCUUACCAAGGCGUCGAUCGGUAGCUGGUCUGAGAGGAUGAUCAGCCAGACUGGGACUGUGACACGGCCCAGACUCCUACGGGAGGCAGCAGUUAGGAAUCUUGGG
rnacentral:rRNA from 1 species